rnacentral:lncRNA from 1 species
AUGAGUGCGUGUGAGCAUGCAUGUGAGACACCCUUUGUGAGAUGGUGUGUGUGUGUCUGUGUCACUGUGUUUGUGUGUGCUUGCUUCCCUCCUUCCUCCCUCUCCCUCCCUUCCUCUCUCUCUCUCUCUGUAGGAGCCAGACAACUCCCCAAGCCUGGAUUAGGGACAAUUUAUCCACAGGCAGAGAAGGAGAAUUCCAACCUGCCAGAGCCUCCCUCCUCUGAUCUGUCCCCCCUUUCCCUGUGGUUGGGUGGGCACAGAAACACAGCCCGGCAGCUCCCAAGCCCUUGGGGAGCCCCCACCUUUGCAGCUCCCCAGAGGCCCAGGAGGAAGGAAAAGAUGAAAAGCUGGGUGGCCCCAGAGCCCUCCAGUGGGGGUAGACUGGCUGCCCCCCAUCCAGGCCCCCACAGCUCAGCUCAUCUUGGCCCUGUUCUCCUACAUAUGGUAGUGGUGGGUGGGGGGAGUCUGCAUGGGGUCUGCCUGGCCCUGGGGGUUGGGGGGACUUCAGGAGCAAAGCUGCCCUCAGCCCCUCCACAACCUGAUACUCCCCAGCAGAUAAACGUCAGGCCCCCACCCAGUGUAAAUGAACUUCCAACAGUGCCCACACAGGCUGGGGGAGCCGCUGGGAGGCAGAGGACAGUGUGGUGCAGAGAACGCAGCAAGGAGGGGUGCAGGGGCUGGGCUGGGACUAAGGCUCCCUUCACGGUGCUCCAGGCGCAAGGCAGAAUCACAUGUUUCCCAUUAGCUGCUCUGGCCUCCUUGUUCAGGGGGUGUUGGCUGGGGGAGAUUUGUUCUGGUUGCAGACACCAGCCGAGACCACACAAGAGAGAGAGAGGAAAAGACAGAAGAGAGAGAGCGUGCCAGAGGGAGAAAGGAAAAGACAGAGAGGAAGAGGGAGAAAGAUACACAGGGAGACACAGAGACAUGGCGAGAGAAACAGAGACAGAGAGACAGAGAAAGACAGAAACUGGGCGAUGGGCAAGCACAAACACAAAAGCAGAGACGGACUGGUGA